rnacentral:rRNA from 1 species
UACGUAGGGUGCAAGCGUUAAUCGGAAUUACUGGGCGUAAAGCGUGCGCAGGCGGCUUUGCAAGACAGAUGUGAAAUCCCCGGGCUCAACCUGGGAACGGCAUUUGUGACUGCAAGGCUAGAGUACGGCAGAGGGGGAUGGAAUUCCGCGUGUAGCAGUGAAAUGCGUAGAUAUGCGGAGGAACACCGAUGGCGAAGGCAAUCCCCUGGGCCUGUACUGACGCUCAUGCACGAAAGCGUGGGGAGCAAACAGG